UACGGAGGUGGCAAGCGUUAUCCGGAUUCACUGGGUUUAAAGGGUGCGUAGGCGGGUUGGUAAGUCAGUGGUGAAAUCUUCAAGCUUAAACUUGGAAACUGCCGUUGAUACCAUCAAUCAUUGAUUAUUGUGGAGGUAAGCGGAAUAUGUCAUGUAGCGGUGAAAUGCUUAGAUAUGACAUAGAACACCAAUUGCGAAGGCAGCUAUCUACAGGGAUAUUGACACUGAGGCACGAAAGCGUGGGGAUCAAACAGG
rnacentral:rRNA from 1 species